CUACUAUGGUUACUUCGAUUACUGGGGACAAGGUACCAUGGUGACCAUCAGUUCAGCGACCCCAGCUGCCCCGUCUCUUUUCCCACUCAUCUCUUCCUGCGGGGCCGACCUGAGCCAAGAUCCUGUCGCACUGGGCUGCUUGGCUAAGGACUUCCUUCCGGACUCAAUCACUUUCUCCUGGAAUGAUAACAAAAAUGCCAGCAUCACCGAUGGCAUCAAGAAAUUCCCUUCAGUCCUGAAUACAGCUGGGACCUACACUGCCACCACUCAGCUAUCGGUCACCGCCUCCGAAGCACAAGGAGUUUUCUAUUGCUCAGCUGAGCACCCAAAUGGGAUUAGGACUGUCCGUGUAGAUCCACAUCGUCCUUGUACUACUGAACCCAGUAUGACCAUCCGCCCCCCAGCCAGAGACCAAUUCCUAGAGCCCAAUAAAACCUCCACCAUCAUCUGCAGCGUUAAGAACUUAUGCAGCCAGGCCGUUACCCUGAAGUGGCUGAAGGAAGGGGUAGAGGUCAGCUCUGGAAUCCACACUGUUGGCCCUGUCUCCAGUGGCCGUAAUGGUUACACCCUCAGCAGCGAACUGACUGUCUCGGAGAAAGAUUGGGAUAACGACCGUGUGUACAGCUGCAAGGUGGAGAGCAAGAAUUUCAGUGACAUAAGGAACAUUAGCAAGUGUUUUGAGUGUGGAGGUGAGUGUUCCCCUUCUGACAUCGGCACCCAGCUAAUCCCGCCUAAUUUUGCUGAUAUUUACAUCCGCAAAUCGGCCAUACUGACCUGCAGGGUCAUUAACAUGCAAUCCACGGAGGGGCUCAACGUGAUCUGGAUGAGAGAGGAUGGCAAGGAGCUGAAGACCAGUAUCGGAGAACGCAAGGUGCAGAGCAACGGCCGUUUCAGCGUGGAUGCCACAACCUCCGUGUGCGCGGAUGAGUGGGAGAGAGGAGACGAGUACACCUGCGAAGUGAUUCAUCCAGAGCUCAUCUUCCCCCUUAAAAAGACUUUGACCAAACAGCCUGUAACCAACAGCCACGCUCCGUCCGUCUACAUCUUCCCUCCUCCUGCCGAGCAGCUGGCCCUCCGCGAAGCUGCCACCGUCACCUGCCUGGUGAAAAGUUUCAACCCUCCUGACCUCUUCAUCAAGUGGCUGAGCAACGGCGAGGAGCUGAACGCCUCCAAGUACAUCAGCACCCAGCCCAUCCAGGAGUCCAGCCAGCCGCUGCUGUACUUCGCCUACAGCACCCUGCAGAUCAGUGAACAGGAGUGGAACGCCGGCAACACCUACACCUGCUUAGUCGGACAUGAGAAGCUACCCCUGCAGGUGACCCAGAGGACCGUGGACAAGUCCACCGUUUAUCUAGAUGGAUUCAUGGAUGCUGAAGAGGAAGACUUCUACAACCUCUGGACAACAGCCUCCACUUUUAUUAUCCUCUUCCUCCUGAGUCUUUUCUACAGCACCACGGUGACACUGAUCAAGGUGAAAUAAACCCAACAGCCCAAGAUUGUUCCAGCCAAAGGAGCCCACGGAAAGCGAUUUUCCUGAAGAACAGUUCCAAACUUUGCUCCACUCUGUCACCUGCAUAAUUGCUGUGUUCACCUGCCUGUGGAACGUUCUCAGACAUCAUCUGAAUGUAACUGGACUUUCUGUCUAUUGUUUAUGCUCUUUCAUCUCCAUUUUUAAUGCACAUUUGGCCAGUUUUUUAUUUCUUUCUGUCCUGGUAAUCUCUGCUUUAUGCAAAACGCAAUCUCUGCUAGCAUAAGAAGUUGCACAUUAAUGGAUAUAUGUAAUCAAACUGCACAACUUGUCGUUUCCCCAGGCGUUUGUACUUCUCACUCUGUACAUAUUUUUCAUGUUGAAAUAAAGAGAUUUAUUAUGUUGACA